UAACCGUCUGAUGUAUACAUUACCACGGCUAUACUGCACACUACAAUGAUAUUGACACAACUCAGAAUAUGUCUUCAAUUUAAUUUAGUAACAUAACAGCGAAUACAUAGUUAUUUGACAUCAACAAUUUACAUCAACAUACUAUAACCACAUUAAGUUUCACAAAAAGUGUGGUCAUGAUUUACAAUCCCCAAUUAUUUAUACACCUAAUUUAUUGGAGAACUUCAUGUAUCUAUGACCCCCUUCAGCUCAACUAAUGGCAUUUCCUACUUAGUCAACUGCUUUUCCAUUUCUUUACAGCUCAUAUUCGUGACCAUUUCUAUAGAGUAAGCAAAGCUAUAUAGAUCUACUCCUAUCUUUCUAUGCAGAGACUAAAUAUUGAUGAACUAACCUAUGAAUCACUUGGGUUCCAGCGAUAAUCCUACCACAGUGCAAGCGAACGUUUCACUUUACUGUGAGAAUCGAAAGAGAUCCAAGUACCUUUCCUCCCCUUCUUCCUUACUCCGAUCUGUUCAAAAUGAAACAUGGAUCAGUUAGUCGAAUCAAAUCCAACAAGCAUCAUCAGAUAGCUUUUAACUAUUCACUACAUACCAACCAACUUCCUCUAUCUUAUUAACCGUUGCCGUGCACCUAUCCCUCAGGCACUAUCCGGAUUGAUGCUCCCUUUC
rnacentral:lncRNA from 1 species